AUACUUACCUGGCAGGGAGAUACCAUGAUCAUGAAGGUGGUUUUCCCAGGGCAAGGCUUAUCCAUUGUACUCCAGAUGUGCUGACCCCUUCGAUUUCCCCAAAUGUGGAAAACUUGACUGCAUAAUUUGCGGUAGUGGGAGACUGUGUUCACAUUCUCUCCUG
rnacentral:snRNA from 1 species